AUGGCUGGCACCACUCACCUACUUGCCCUCUUCGCACUCACACAACUCUACUCGGUAGCUGCAUCUACUUCUGAUGCCCAUGCUCAUGGCCAUGAUAACGACACAGCUUCUUCCUUCUGCCAUCCGGACCAAGCUGCAGCACUUCUCCAACUAAAGCAGUCAUUCAUCUUAGACUACUCCACUACCACCCUCCCGUCAUGGCAACCUGGUACUGACUGUUGUCUCUGGGAGGGCGUGGGCUGUGACGGUGUUUCUGGCAGCAGCAGCAGCAGUGUCACAGUUCUUGACCUCGGCCGCCGUGGCCUCUACAGCUAUAGCUGCCAUGCCGCGCUCUUCAACCUCACCUCCCUACGUUAUCUCGACCUCAGCAUGAACGAUUUUGGUGGAUCUCGCAUUCCGGGAGAUGGCUUCGAGAGGCUAUCCAAGCUCACUCACCUCAACCUUUCUUAUUCAGGCUUCUACGGUCAGAUUCCUAUCGCCAUCGGCAAACUCAAAAGCCUCGUAUCAUUGGACCUUUCUUCACUGCAUAAUAUUGAAUCGGCUGAAAUCACAAAUCUUUAUGCUAUCAUGGAUGGCUAUAACUUUCUGGUGUUACGAGAGCCCAGCUUUAAGACCUUACUGGCAAACCUCAACAAUCUGAGGGAGUUGUACCUUGAUGGAGUGGACAUAUCUAGUAGCGGAGAGGAGUGGAGCAGUGAUCUAGCUAAAGCUGUCCCCCGUCUUCACGUUUUUAGCAUGGCGUACUGCAAACUCAAUGGUCCAAUCCACUCUUCUCUGUCAAGUCUUAGAUCCCUUACUGUGGUCAACCUCAAGCUUAAUGGUGGAAUUUCUGGUGCGGUUCCUGAAUUCUUCACGGACUUUCUCAAUUUAAGUGUUCUUCAACUCAGUUAUAACAAUUUCAGUGGCUGGUUUCCUUGGAAAAUCUUUCAACUCAAGAAUAUAAGAGUCCUUGAUGUGUCACACAACGAACGACUGUCAGGGCGUUUACCAGAAUUUCCAAGUAGGGCUUCUUUGGAGACUUUGAUUCUACAGUACACUAAUUUCUCUGGUGUCAGGCUGAGCUCUUUUAACAAUCUCCUGUCUCUGAGGGAGCUAGGAGAGUUAGCACCAUUUUUCUCAUGGAUUAGAAGCCUUAAGAACUUGACAAGCUUGCACCUCUCUGAUUGCUAUUCCUCCAAGCUAACGCCCCCGAUGAUUGGAAACCUCACCAACUUGACAAGUUUGGAGAUUACUUACUGUGGCUUUGUUGGACAAAUACCAUCAUCAAUUGGCAACCUCAACAAGUUGACUUCAUUGAGAAUCUCUGAUUGUGCCUUCUCUGGGACAAUACCAUCUUCAAUUGGCAAUCUCAAGAAACUAAGAAGAUUGGAAAUUUCUUAUACUGAAUUAUCAUGUCCAAUAACAACAGAUUUUGGACAUCUCAACAAAUUGAUGAAUGAUCUUAGAGGAGAUAUUCCAACAUAUCUAUUCACUUUGCCAGCCAUGUUACAAUUGGACCUUUCAUCAAACCAGCUUUCUGGACCAAUACAAGAGUUUGGUACUCUACAUUCGCACAUGAUAAUUGUUUAUUUGAGUCAAAAUCAAAUCAGUGGACAGAUUCCUAGAUCAUUCUUUCAACUCACAAGUUUGAUAGACCUGGAUCUUAGCUCAAACAACUUAACAGGUUUGGUAGAACUGAAUUUACUUUGGAAGUUACGAAAGCUUGCUUCAUUGGAUCUAUCAAACAACAGGUUAUCCGUCUUGGAUGGAGAAGGCAAUAAAUCAACAGUGCCCUUACUAUCUAAGCUCUCAUAUUUAAUACUAGUGUCUUGCAACAUGACAACAAUGCCUAGAUUCUUGAUGCAUAUCAACCAUAUCGAUACACUGGACCUUUCGAACAAUAUAAUACAGGGGACUAUACCCCAAUGGAUAUGGGAGACGUGGGAUGAUAGCCUUACACAGUUAAAUCUUUCAAACAACAUGUUCACAGAUAUGCAACUCACUUCAUAUCUACUCCCAUACAGUCGUUUGGAUUCUCUUGAUCUCAGCUCCAAUAGACUUCAAGGCCAGGCCCCGAUGCCAAACCUAUUUAAAGAAGUGGAUUAUUCAAACAAUAGAUUCUCUUCUAUUAUGCCAAAUUUCACUGCUUAUCUUUCCCAAACUGUGUAUCUCAAGUUGUCAAGAAAUAACAUAAGUGGGCAUAUACCGGAUUCGACAAUAGAUUUACAUGGCAAUAAUAUUCGAGGGAAACUUCCUAGGUCUCUUUCCAACUGCGCUGGCUUGGGGAUUCUUGACAUUGGAAACAAUCGGAUGGUUGGUACUUUCCCAUUUUGGCUCGGUAGGCUCUCUGAUCUUUGUAUCAUCGUUCUGGGAUCCAACCUGUUCUAUGGCUCGCUUACUUAUCCUGCCAGAGAUAGAAAAUCCAGGGAAUACUUCUCAAAGAUACAAAUCGUUGAUAUAGCUUCAAACAAUUUCUCUGGCAAUUUGGAUCCACAGUGGUUCGGGAGGUUCGCAUCUAUGAUGGCAAAGUUUAGUGAGACGGGAAAUAUCUUAAGGCAUCAGAUAUACGGAGACUACCAUGAUACUGUUGCAAUCACAUACAAAGGUCAAUAUGUGACUUUUGAAGAAGUCUUGACUACCUUAACUGCAAUUGACUUCUCAAAUAAUGCAUUGGAGGGUGACAUUUUCGAAUCAGUUGGAAGUCUAGUUUCACUACACAUAUUGAACAUGUCGCAUAAUGCAUUUAAAGGAAGGAUUCCAGCACAAAUUGGUGAGAUGCGUCAACUGGAAUCGCUAGACCUAUCAUGGAACAAGCUUUCUGGGGAGAUUCCACAAGAGCUAACAAAUUUAACAUUUCUUAGCACCCUGAACUUGUCUGGAAAUAGGCUGGAUGGAAGGAUACCACAGUCAAGUCAGUUUGCAACAUUUGAGUACACUUCAUAUGAAGGGAAUGCAGGGCUCUGUGGACCACCUUUGUCCAAACCAUGUGGUAAUUCAAGUAACCCAAAUGAGGCACAAGUAAGCAUAUCCAAAGAUCAUGUUGAUGUCAUUUUGUUUCUCUUUGCUGGGUGGGCUUUGGCGUUGGAUUCGCGGCAGGUAUUCUGUUGA
rnacentral:rRNA from 1 species